CUGUAUCUGGGGACGCGACCCAGUCGUUGUCCUUGUUGUUCUGUAUCUGGGGACGCGACCCAGUCGUUGUCCUUGUUGUUUUGUAUCUGGGGAUGCGACCCAGUCGUUGUCCUUGUUGUUCUGUAUCUAGGGACGCGACCCAGUCGUUGUCCUUUUGUUCUGUAUCUAGGGACGCGACCCAGUCGUUGUCCUUGUUGUUCUGUAUCUGGGGAUGCGACCCAGUCGUUGUUCUGUAUCUAGGGACGAGACCCAGUCGUUGUCCUUUUGUUCUGUGUCUAGGGACGAGACCCAGUCGUUGUCCUUGUUGUUCUGUAUCUAUGGACGAGACCCAGUCGUUCUUUCUAAAUGUUCCAUGAUGGCUGGCAAUGAUCUUAUCCCUUGCUUGCUAUUUGGCUAACACAGUCAUGUCAAACAGUGUAGCCAGAAUAACAGCACAGUAGCUGGGGUUUAAGCUGUUUUCUAGUGACUCUUUCGGGAUACCUCCAUUACAAUGAGCUAAUGAUUUCUCCUGGAACGCUGGCUGGUUCUCUCUCUUCCCCCCCAACCUGAAGCUGGAAUGACGAGCAGUUACUGUUGUUCUGUUGACAUUUCAUUUGAUACAUAAAAAUGAUGCUGAGUCAUGAUUUCGACUGGCUGAGAGAAGCUGCCUGUUUGUCCCGACAUGUUCAUUAACAGCUGGAGAUACAAUUUCAAAAUUGUAUUUUUAAUUAUUAUUUUUUGCAAACGCAAGAUUAUUACAAAUCUCCACUGUUGAAAACCAAUUGUUAAUCUAAAAGAAAUGUGAGAUAAUGUCUACAUGCUUUUUAUAGUGGAGAUCAAGUUUAUAAGUUGCCUGGUUGGGCUGAUGAGACAGUGGAUUGCUUAGAGUAAAUAGACAUUUUAAUGUCAUAGAUUUAGCCUGUGGUAACUUGUAGAAUAGACAAUGGCUGGAAUGUGGUUUUAACCAACCAGGAUUAGACCCACCCAUAUAAACCUUGAUUGAGAAUUAUUCAACCCUCUGAGUCAAUACAUGUUAGAAUCACAUUUUGGCAGCGAUUACAGCUGUGAGUCUUCUUGGGUUGGUAUCUAAGGGGCCGAUUUAGUCUGAGGAAAUGCCUUUGCACUUCUCAGUUGGUAUUCAGACUUACCAAGCACGUAUUGCGCUCUACAGGUGUGGCUACCAUGCCCUCAAUGAAUAAAUAUCAUUCAAUCACUGACAAACCUCCCACUUGCUAACCGAUUAUUUUCUUUGUUGUGAAGUUCACAUUCAAUAGUGUCUUCAGUACAUUUAUCGAAAGCCUUUAAAUAUGCUGUACCUUUGUUGACAUGAUUUUAAUUUGGCCUCUUUAGGACUGGUUUCACAUUUGCCUCCAGGAAAAAUAAUCUAGAACAGUAACUAUAUGUAGGCUAUCUCCAAACAGCUUCCUCAUUUUACCUAGCGGCAUGGUAGCCUCGUGGUUAGAGCUAUCUCCAAACAGCUUCCUCAUUUUACCUAGCGGAAUGGUAGCCUCGUGGUUAGGGCUAUCUCCAAACAGCUUCCUCAUUUUACCUAGCGGCAUGGUAGCCUCGUGGUUAGAGCUAUCUCCAAACAGCUUCCUCAUUUUACCUAGCGGAAUGGUAGCCUCGUGGUUAGGGCUAUCUCCAAACAGCUUCCUCAUUUUACCUAGCGGCAUGGUAGCCUCGUGGUUAGAGCAAGUUCAAAUCCCUGAGCUGACAAGGUACAAAUCUGUCGUUCUGCCCCUGAACAAGGCAGUUCCCUGGUAGGCCGUCAUUGAAAAUAAGAAUGUGUUCUUAACUGACUUCCCUAGUUAAAUAAAUUAUUGAUUAUAAAUGACAAUGAAUGGCUUUAUUUCUAUCAAGAAUAAAAUGAAGGUAAAUUGGGCGGGUGUUUAAAUCUGACGAUUCUGUUACAAAACGUUUCUUAAGCAAAUGGCACGAAAUGGGGAGGGACCUACCUGAAUUUGUCCAAUAGAAACUCUUUUAUUAUCAAAACAGAACCAAUGAUUGCACGCUAGAGGCAGGCAAGAGGGUGUAAGGCAGUAUUUAAUGUUUUCACUGGCUGUCACCUUGAUUACUCAAAUGAUUCUCUCAACCUUUUCACCUGCAUUGUAAAACUUUCAUUCUAAGUCUGUUGUAGCAACCUCAUGAUGGGUAUAGGUCAAAUUAGAGUAUCAUGUCGUGGCCUAAACAUAUCGAUGAUACAUUGAACUGGGUGAAUGACAGUCAUCCAAAUAUGCUGUGAUAGAAAUAAGGCCGUCCUCGAACGGCACCGGCCGUGGCUGAGGUCACUCCGUAGACAGGAAAGUGUAUAAAAAGCCAACACAGCGAUGUGCUCUGGACCGAACUUCCCCCUGAGAGCUUUCCACACCUCAAUUGUGCAAAAGUCUACAUAUUUUCAAGCAGAUAUAAGCCUCUAAACUGUAACUAGGCCACUCAGCAACAUGCGAUGUCAUCUUGGUAAGGCACUCGUUUUAUGUUGCCCGGUGUGUCAGGUUAGGACGAGGCAGUUACUGAGUGACAUGUUGGAUUUGCCCCAAACAUAAGGCUUAACAUUUAUGCCAAAAUGUUUAUUCCUUUUGCAGUGUUUUAUUUUUUUUUACGUCAGUGCCUUGUUAUAUACAGGAUGCUUGUUUUGGAGUUGUCGGUUAUCUGCUGUCACAGCCAUUACAAUCUGUAGCUGUUUUAAACUCCCCAAGGGUCUCUCAUGGUAUUAUCCUGCCCUCCGUUCAGGAGGACUGUAUACUUGUUGUGUCUGGGUGGCAAUGAGACUUUCAAAAAAAUCUCCCUGGUCUUUGUAGUUUAAUCUGUGCUUGAAAUUCAAUGAAUCAUGUCAACCCCUACUAUUUCAUACAGUACAGGUAACUUAUCAUUUGUUAAGCAACAAUUUACUCCUGAACUCAUUUAGGUUAAACAAAGGAGGUGAAUUGUUAUGCAAUGAUUUAUUUGUUUUUAUUAAUUUGUAUAAAUGUAUUUUGUGUAGAACAAUAAAUCAAAUCAAAUACAUUCCAAUCCAAUUUUAACACAAAAUCCAAGGGGCUGAAUACUGAUUAGGGUGUUUGAUAUGACCUGUUACUGUCUGACUUAUUAUAUGAUGCAAGGUUAACAUCUCUGUUCUACUGUUGGUUCUGAGGAGGAUAACAUCUCUGUUCUACUGUUGGUUCUGAGGAGGUUAACAUCUCUGUUCUACUGUUGGUUCUGAGGAGGAUAACAUCUCUGUUCUACUGUUGGUUCUGAGGAGGUUAACCUCUCUGUUCUACUGUUGGUUCUGAGGAGGAUACCAUCUCUCUGUUCUACUGUUGGUUCUGAGGAGGAUACCAUCUCUCUGUUCUACUGUUGGUUCUGAAGAGGGUAGUCUCUCCACAAAGCGUCUUUAAGAGUAGUACUGGUCUAGGAUCAGGUCCUCCUUGUCCCUAACAAUCAAUCAUUUUAAUCUAAAACACUACACUAAGACGCUUUGUGGAUACGUCUACCAGGGUCCAGAGCUAGGGAGGGUUCCUGCUGUUCUGUUGUGGCCCAGUCCGGAACAGACCCAGGCUGCCUACUGUAAGACCCUGUGAGGCUUGGCUAGAUUCACUCCAGGUUACAUAAUGACAACAGACUGGCUUGUGUUGCUGGCUACUGUCAGAUUCUAUUCAUCCACACAGUUGGUUUUAAAAAUGGGACUUUGGCCUUUUAAAAUGUGUUUCAAGCCUUUCAUACAUUUACACAUUAAACAUUUCCUGCUGUGGAAAGUGUGGAUUGGAAUUUGUCCAUUUUAAAAGUUAAUAGUAAAAUGUUAUUAGAGGAUGAUUUGAAAUAAACUAAGUUUGAGUCAUUUAUUCA